GAAACCUCACCUUGCCACACGCCAUCCGGGCGCCAGAGCAGUUUUAUAAAACACGGACUUCCGUCCGGGUGAGGAGAAAGA
rnacentral:ncRNA from 1 species